AACGCUGGCGGCAUGCCUAAGACAUGCAAGUCGAACGAGACGGCCCAAUGAAAACCGAGUGCUUGCACAAAGUUAGAUUUGGUUUCCGUCUAGUGGCGCAAGGGUGAGUAACACGUGGGUAAUCUACCUUCGAGUCUGGAAUAACAAUUGAAAUGAUUGCUAAUGCCGGAUUAUAUAUGAGAAGAUACACUUCACAUAUUAAAAGGAGCCUUUAAAGCUUCGCCAUAAGAUGGACUCGCGUCUGAUUAGAUAGUUGGUGAGGUAACGGCUCACCAAGUCGACGAUCAGUAGCCGAACUGAGAGGUUGAUCGGCCACAUUGGGACUGAGACACGGCCCAGACUCCUACGGGAGGCAGCAGUGGGGGAUAUUGCACAAUGGGGGAAACCCUGAUGCAGCAACGCCGCGUGAAGGAAGAAGGUCUUCGGAUUGUAAACUUUUGUCUUAUGGGAAGAAGAAAGUGACGGUACCAUAGGAGGAAGCCACGGCUAACUACGUG
rnacentral:rRNA from 1 species